rnacentral:rRNA from 1 species
AUUGAACGCUGGCGACAGGCUUAACACAUGCAAGUCGAGCGGAGAUGAGGUGCUUGCACCUUAUCUUAGCGGCGGACGGGUGAGUAAUGCUUAGGAAUCUGCCUCUUAGUGGGGGACAACAUUCCGAAAGGAAUGCUAAUACCGCAUACGUACUACGGGAGAAAGCAGGGGAUCUUCGGACCUUGCGCUAAUAGAUGAGCCUAAGUCGGAUUAGCUAGUUGGUGGGGUAAAGGCCUACCAAGGCGACGAUCUGUAGCGGGUCUGAGAGGAUGAUCCGCCACACUGGGACUGAGACACGGCCCAGACUCCUACGGGAGGCAGCAGUGGGGAAUAUUGGACAAUGGGGGGAACCCUGAUCCAGCCAUGCCGCGUGUGUGAAGAAGGCCUUAUGGUUGUAAAGCACUUUAAGCGAGGAGGAGGCUACUGAGACUAAUACUCUUGGAUAGUGGACGUUACUCGCAGAAUAAGCACCGGCUAACUCUGUGCCAGCAGCCGCCGUAAAAC